UGUUCGAGCGCCAUUUCUACCCUGGAGCCCUGCUCUGUGAUGGGCCCCGUCCUCGCGGACGGGCCCGAAACCCGUGGCGCCGUCGUCCGGCCCUGAGCGUAGCAAGAGAAAUCCCUCGCUCGGAGUGUCCGCACGGUGGCCGCCCCGACCCAUUUUACAAGGUUGGCCUCGGAUCAGGUGGGGAUACCCGCUGAACUUAA
rnacentral:misc_RNA from 1 species